CUUCAGUGAUGAUACGAUGACGAGUCGGAACGGGACUUUGGCCGUCUCUCAGGGUUCUGGGUUAGUGGGCACGUUCUGUGCUCCUGACUUUAGGUCCUCAGAGCGCUGUGUCCUUUUCGGUUGAAGACAUCGAGGCAUUUGUCUGAGAAGA